AGAGUUUGAUCCUGGCUCAGGAUGAACGCUGGCGGCGUGCCUAAUACAUGCAAGUCGAGCGAACGGACGAGAAGCUUGCUUCUCUGAUGUUAGCGGCGGACGGGUGAGUAACACGUGGAUAACCUACCUAUAAGACUGGGAUAACUUCGGGAAACCGGAGCUAAUACCGGAUAAUAUUUUAAACCGCAUGGUUCAAAAGUGAAAGACGGUCUUGCUGUCACUUAUAGAUGGAUCCGCGCUGCAUUAGCUAGUUGGUAAGGUAACGGCUUACCAAGGCAACGAUGCAUAGCCGACCUGAGAGGGUGAUCGGCCACACUGGAACUGAGACACGGUCCAGACUCCUACGGGAGGCAGCAGUAGGGAAUCUUCCGCAAUGGGCGAAAGCCUGACGGAGCAACGCCGCGUGAGUGAUGAAGGUCUUCGGAUCGUAAAACUCUGUUAUUAGGGAAGAACAUACGUGUAAGUAACUGUGCACGUCUUGACGGUACCUAAUCAGAAAGCCACGGCUAACUACGUGCCAGCAGCCGCGGUAAUACGUAGGUGGCAAGCGUUAUCCGGAAUUAUUGGGCGUAAAGCGCGCGUAGGCGGUUUUUUAAGUCUGAUGUGAAAGCCCACGGCUCAACCGUGGAGGGUCAUUGGAAACUGGAAAACUUGAGUGCAGAAGAGGAAAGUGGAAUUCCAUGUGUAGCGGUGAAAUGCGCAGAGAUAUGGAGGAACACCAGUGGCGAAGGCGACUUUCUGGUCUGUAACUGACGCUGAUGUGCGAAAGCGUGGGGAUCAAACAGGAUUAGAUACCCUGGUAGUCC
rnacentral:rRNA from 1 species